rnacentral:rRNA from 1 species
GUGAGUGAUGAAGGCUUUCGGGUCGUAAAACUCUGUUGUUAGGGAAGAACAAGUGCUAGUUGAAUAAGCUGGCACCUUGACGGUACCUAACCAGAAAGCCACGGCUAACUACGUGCCAGCAGCCGCGGUAAUACGUAGGUGGCAAGCGUUAUCCGGAAUUAUUGGGCGUAAAGCGCGCGCAGGUGGUUUCUUAAGUCUGAUGUGAAAGCCCACGGCUCAACCGUGGAGGGUCAUUGGAAACUGGGAGACUUGAGUGCAGAAGAGGAAAGUGGAAUUCCAUGUGUAGCGGUGAAAUGCGUAGAGAUAUGGAGGAACACCAGUGGCGAAGGCGACUUUCUGGUCUGUAACUGACACUGAGGCGCGAAAGCGUGGGGAGCAAACAGAAUUAGAUACCCUGGUAGUCCAC